AGUGGCGGACGGGUGAGUAACGCGUGAGAAUCUGCCUUGGGGUCGGGGACAACCACUGGAAACGGUGGCUAAUACCGGAUAAGCCGAUUGGUGAAAGAUUUAUUGCCCGAAGAGGAGCUCGCGUCUGAUUAGCUAGUUGGUGAGGUAAGAGCUCACCAAGGCAGCGAUCAGUAGCUGGUCUGAGAGGACGAUCAGCCACACUGGGACUGAGACACGGCCCAGACUCCUACGGGAGGCAGCAGUGGGGAAUUUUCCGCAAUGGGCGAAAGCCUGACGGAGCAAGACCGCGUGAGGGAGGAAGGCUCUUGGGUUGUAAACCUCUUUUCUCAGGGAAGAAGCUCUGACGGUACCUGAGGAAUCAGCCUCGGCUAACUCCGUGCCAGCAGCCGCGGUAAUACGGAGGAGGCAAGCGUUAUCCGGAAUUAUUGGGCGUAAAGCGUCCGCAGGUGGCGAUUCAAGUCUGCUGUCAAAGCACGGGGCUUAACUCCGUAAAGGCAGUGGAAACUGAAUAGCUAGAGUGCCGUAGGGGUAGAGGGAAUUCCCGGUGUAGUGGUGAAAUGCGUAGAGAUCGGGAAGAACAUCGGUGGCGAAAGCGCUCUACUGGACGGCAACUGACACUCAGGGACGAAAGCUAGGGGAGCGAAUGGGAUUAGAUACCCC
rnacentral:rRNA from 1 species